rnacentral:rRNA from 1 species
GAUGAACGCUGGCGGCGUGCCUAAUACAUGCAAGUAGAACGCUGAAGCUUGGUGCUUGCACCGAGCGGAUGAGUUGCGAACGGGUGAGUAAUGCGUAGGUAACCUGCCUGGUAGCGGGGGAUAACUAUUGGAAACGAUAGCUAAUCCGCAUAACAGUCGACAUUGCAUGAUGUUGAUUUGAAAGGGGCAAUUGCUCCACUACCAGAUGGACCUGCGUUGUAUUAGCUAGUUGGUGAGGUAACGGCUCACCAAGGCGACGAUACAUAGCCGACCUGAGAGGGUGAUCGGCCACACUGGGACUGAGACACGGCCCAGACUCCUACGGGAGGCAGCAGUAGGGAAUCUUCGGCAAUGGACGGAAUGUCUGACCGAGCAACGCCGCGUGAUGUGAAGAAGGUUUUCGGAUCGUAAAGCUC